rnacentral:rRNA from 1 species
CCUACGGGAGGCAGCAGUGGGGAAUUUUGGACAAUGGGCGCAAGCCUGAUCCAGCAAUGCCGCGUGCAGGAUGAAGGCCUUCGGGUUGUAAACUGCUUUUGUACGGAACGAAACGGUGAGCUCUAAUAAAGUUUGCUAAUGACGGUACCGUAAGAAUAAGCACCGGCUAACUACGUGCCAGCAGCCGCGGUAAUACGUAGGGUGCGAGCGUUAAUCGGAAUUACUGGGCGUAAAGCGUGCGCAGGCGGUUAUAUAAGACAGAUGUGAAAUCCCCGGGCUCAACCUGGGACCUGCAUUUGUGACUGUAUAGCUAGAGUACGGUAGAGGGGGAUGGAAUUCCGCGUGUAGCAGUGAAAUGCGUAGAUAUGCGGAGGAACACCGAUGGCGAAGGCAAUCCCCUGGACCUGUACUGACGCUCAUGCACGAAAGCGUGGGGAGCAAACAGGAUUAGAUACCCUGGUAGUCCACGCCCUAAACGAUGUCAACUGGUUGUUGGGUCUUCACUGACUCAGUAACGAAGCUAACGCGUGAAGUUGACCGCCGCGGNGGUACGGCCGCGAGUAGAACGUACGAAGAAGUUAGACGGCGUGAGACGUGCCGACGGACGACGACGAGGGGAGGAGG